rnacentral:tRNA from 1 species
UUGGCGGUGGCCGGGCCGUUCAGGAUCGGCCCGUUCAGACCCGGCCCGUUCAGAUCCGGCCCGUUCAGAUCCGGCCCGUUGGA